rnacentral:piRNA from 1 species
UUAAUAAGGAAGUUUUGGAUCCUAUAGCC